rnacentral:rRNA from 1 species
CCUACGGGUGGCAGCAGUGGGGGAUAUUGCACAAUGGGGGAAACCCUGAUGCAGCGACGCCGCGUGUGGGAAGACGGUCCUCUGGAUUGUAAACCACUGUCCCCAGGGACGAAGAUGACGGUACCUGGGGAGGAACCCCCGGCUAACUACGUGCAGGCAGCCGCGGUAAUACGUAGGGAGCAAGCGUUGUCCGGAAGUACUGGGGGUAAAGGGAGCGUAGGCGGGAUGGCAAGUUGGGGGUUAAAUCUACCGGCUCAACUGGUAGUCGAAGUAAAAACGGCUAUUCUUGAGUGAAGAGGAGGCAGGCGGAAUUCCUCGUGUAGCGGUGACCUGCGUCGAUCUUAGGCG